ACGUAGGUGGCAAGCGUUGUCCGGAAUUAUUGGGCGUAAAGCGCGCGCAGGCGGAUAGGUCAGUCUGUCUUAAAAGUUCGGGGCUUAACCCCGUGAGGGGAUGGAAACUGCCAAUCUAGAGUAUCGGAGAGGAAAGUGGAAUUCCUAGUGUAGCGGUGAAAUGCGUAGAUAUUAGGAAGAACACCAGUGGCGAAGGCGACUUUCUGGACGAAAACUGACGCUGAGGCGCGAAAGCCAGGGGAGCGAACGG
rnacentral:rRNA from 1 species